rnacentral:lncRNA from 1 species
GGUGUUAUUGAAAAUCUCAAACAUCAAUCAGUUUUUAUGAAUCUUAAAUAACAUGUGAGGUCUUGGUAUUUAGUUUUACCUCACUAUCCGUCCAUUAUUUUUGAUUAAUUACCUUAUUUAUGAGUCGUUAUCUCACAAAUAAGGCAAUACUAAAAAAAACCCUAUUAUAUGCUUUCUAUCAAUAAACAACAAGGUGAAUAACUUCAUGAGUACAUUUGUUGCUCCAAUGUUGCUACUAUGAAAACCAAGAAUGUGACAUAAGAUUGAGAUAUCCUGGAAUUCAUGUAGGGUAAAUCAUGAGCAUCUAAAGUAUGCACUUAUAGAUGACAAUCUGGAGAAAAUGUUUGCUUUGUAUGAAAAAGCUCAUAAAUAUGUUAAAAUGAAAGAAAUGAAGGUAUCUAGUGAGGAAUCUUCUUUAUCAUGUUAUGAUACUGCGAAACACCAUUUUGAAAGAUUGUGAAGGGGACAACCCCCACUAUUAGAUUAAUAAAGAUGAAAUUAUGGUUUAGGAGUGCACAUAGGGGCAACACAUUGGUAGCUUCUCAAAUUUGCCUCAACGAUAUAGACAAGACAAGACAAGCUAUACCAAUAAUUGGAAAGGUAAACUAAAAGAGAACCAUGCAAUAGAUUUGAAACCUACACUCUUUCAAAUGCCUUACUAGGGUUUUCUAUACCUUCUUGUAAUACUUGCCUCAGUGGUGUGAAGGGGUUUACGCAGAGUGGUACUAGAAGAGGAUUCUUUAUGCCAUUGUAUGCGUUUGAAGUAAGGCUUCAUUAGACUCUACACUUUUUUUGAAGUACUUAAAUCAUAUGAUGUUUUGUUGACCAACUAGAAGGAAUAUCAUAGUGGGCUUCAGUAGCACAGUUCAUAGAAACAAGACGAAGUACCUAGCAGAAGUGCCUUCCAAAUUAUAAAUUGGCUUCUCCAAUGAGCAAGGGGUAACUCGAAAUCAUUCCCUAUUAUAGCUUUUUUUGGAGCCUUCCCUUUAUUACCUUCUUUACUCACAUUUUUCUCAUUAUCCCCUCAUUAACCUUAUGAAAUGUGAUUCACACUAACCCUAACUUAGAAACUACAAAACUUGAUCCCCACUAACCCAAUUGAAAUCCAAGAAUAAAAUAAUUAACUACAAACAAUAUAAAAGUAGCUAGAAAUCUCACUUGAAAACGUCUUCUCUGGGUUCACAUAAGGACUUUAACUUGAAGAACCACCGCUAAAAUACCCGAGCAUCCAAUGAAU